AUGGCUGGCGGAGGCUUGAGGCCUCCAGGCUCCAGGACUCUGCAAAGAUUCUGUGCCUCACCUGUGGGAUGGAAGGCAAGAGCUUCCAGGAGGGCAUGGACUUGGAUCCGAGAAUACCACAGCAUCUACCAUACGUUGGAGCAGUGGGGUUUGAAGAGACGCUUGACACCGUGGUGCAGACUCUUGUUGUUGAAUCUUUGCUGCAGGUCUUGGAGGUGUUGCCUAUCCAACUAUUUCAUCCAGCAAGGUGCAUCCAGUGCCAGAGAAGAGACGAAAAUCUCUAGAAUGUGCUAGAAGUUGACAGAAAUCAGCUAACAAAUUAAGGAGCUUCAAACUGUAAAGGGUGAAAAGAGUCUGUAAAACGCAUUAGACGUAUUUUGAAGAAUAUAAGCCUGUAAUAGAAAGGAUUCUCGCUCCCUCCCCACAAAUCAGCCAUGUAUGGAAAUCAAAAAUUCCACUCCGAUGAGCACAUUUCCCUGCUUUCCAAUGCCAGGAACCAAGUGAGCAGCGAGCGGGGCCUGCACCAUUACCAUUGGCAGCAAAUAGUUUCAUAACGAGUUUUGGAAACUUGACUACUUGCCGGCCUCUGAUUCAUUAAUGUAAUACUAGAAGAAAAUUAACAGGCUCUGAUGACCUCUGAGGACAUUUGGGGAGAAGGUCAAGUCCAUGCUGAACCGAGUCAGCUAUAAAGAAAAUGAGACUUCAGUUUGCCCGCAAGCAGUGGAACUUUUCAGGCUCCAGUGUGCUCAGUGUGCCCCUCGUCUUGGCUGAUGAGCGCUCCUGCUGUUGCUAUAGAUGGGAACAUUGAAGCCCUGGUGUCUAUAAUAAGCGAGAUGAGCUAACAUGUUAAUGCUUUUUCCUUCCUGUUAUACUUUUCGGUAUGUUAAGCUGCUAUUUAACUUUGAAUUGUCACAAUCUGUGGCAUUAUAUAAUGAUACAAUUUCUUUUCUGUGUAAUUGCUAAAGAACUCUGUGAUACUUCUGAUUGGAGGCGGAUAAAAACUAUAGAGAAACAUAAGGCUGUGUUUAUAUAAAUGCAAAAAAAAAAAAAAAAAAAAUCAACUCUCCCAAAAAUGAGCUGGGCAAAAAACACCAAGACUUCUUCUUUACUUUUUUCUUUUAUGCAAAGAAUAUACUUUAAACUGAAUUUUUUCCCUUUUCAUUCGUUGUUUGUGGAUACAGGAUAUAUAGCAGCAGGGGAGCAGAUGAGAAAAAUCUACUGAAAGCUGAUUCUGUUUAACAGAUUAAAUACAAAUUUGUUUUUAAAAAGAAAGAGCUUGUAAUGUUUUAUUGAGGUUCAGCCAUGAAGGCUGCUGUAGGAAAGAAUUUUGUAAUUAUAAAAUCCUAAAUAAAGCUUGGAACAAUC
rnacentral:lncRNA from 1 species